UUGGAAAUCAAAUGAUACUGU
rnacentral:misc_RNA from 1 species